rnacentral:rRNA from 1 species
UACGAAGGGUGCUAGCGUUGCUCGGAAUCACUGGGCGUAAAGCGCACGUAGGCGGACUCUUAAGUCGGGGGUGAAAUCCUGGAGCUCAACUCCAGAACUGCCUUCGAUACUGAGAGUCUCGAGUCCGGGAGAGGUGAGUGGAACUGCGAGUGUAGAGGUGAAAUUCGUAGAUAUUCGCAAGAACACCAGUGGCGAAGGCGGCUCACUGGCCCGGUACUGACGCUGAAGUGCGAAAGCGUGGGGAGCAAACAGG